rnacentral:rRNA from 1 species
UACGUGAGGUGCGAGCGUUAAUCGGAAUUACUGGGCGUAAAGCGUGCGCAGGCGGUUUUGUAAGCCAGAUGUGAAAUCCCCCGGGCUCAACCUGGGAAAUGGCAUUUGGGACUGCAAGGCUGGAGUGCGGCAGAGGAGACUGGAAUUCCUGGUGUAGCAGUGAAAUGCGUAGAUAUCAGGAGGAAUACCGAUGGACGAAGGCAGGU